rfam:Aspergillus terreus NIH2624 scaffold_12 genomic scaffold, whole genome shotgun sequence.
GGGGUUGUGGUUUAGUGGUAUAACGUUCGCUUAGCAUGCAUCUCAACGCAUGCGAAAGGUCCGGGGUUCGAUUCCCCGCAACUCCA